CCCUUAGAUGUUCUGGGCCGCACGCGCGCUACACUGAUUCAUGCAACAAGUUUUGCCCUUGGCUGAUAGGCCUGGGUAAUCUUUGAACGUGAAUCGUGAUGGGGAUAGAUGAUUGCAAUUAUUCAUCUUCAACGAGGAAUUCCUAGUAAACGCAAGUCAUCAGCUUGCAUUGAUUACGUCCCUGCCCUUUGUACACACCGCCCGUCGCACCUACCGAUUGAAUGGUCCGGUGAAAUCUUCGGAUCUGAGAGAUGUCUGAUUAAUUUCGGACGCCUUUUGGAAAAGUUGCUUAAACCUUACCAUUUAGAGGAAGGUGAAGUCGUAACA
rnacentral:rRNA from 1 species